rnacentral:rRNA from 1 species
AAAACGACUCUCGGCAACGGAUAUCUCGGCUCUCGCAUCGAUGAAGAACGUAGCGAAAUGCGAUACUUGGUGUGAAUUGCAGAAUCCCGUGAACCAUCGAGUCUUUGAACGCAAGUUGCGCCCCAAGCCGUUAGGCCGAGGGCACGCCUGCCUGGGUGUCAUGC